AUUUUUUGAAUGGUUUUCCAACAACCUGAACAGGAUCAAGGAAUUAGUCUACAUGGGGCACACAGGACAACAGCUGGGAACUGUUCCCUGUCUGGUGAAUUUCAGCAACAUCAGGAUAUAUUUGGAGCAAACUCUAGUAACCUCUUGAGAUUAAACAACAUUCGGGCUUAAUAUUUCUGUUUUUCCAUGCAAGUGGUGUUUGCUUUCUAGAGGCCAAGAUGCUGCCUCCCAGUGGGUGACACCAUCCCUUUGAUUAGUUCCCUCAUGUUCCAUUCACUCAUCCCCACUCGUGCCCUGUCCCACCUCCAGCCCAUCACCGAUCAGCCCCCUUGCAGUGCUUUGAGCUGCUGAGCACUGGUGCCCUAUGGUUUUCAGGGAUGAUUCCCAGGCUAACCCUAUGGCCUAUAGUUUAAAAGGACAUCUAUGUUCACUGCCACUCAGAAAAAGGGAAUUGUUUCUCAGGCUUUUGAGGCAUGAAACUAAUAUCAUAGACCCUUGUGAUUCAGGAAGAAACAAAAAGUUUGGGGCAUGAAGGGUGGGAUGGGUACCUUCCGAUAAAGGGAAUUUCCUGGUCAAAGGGAGCUGGGUCUUGUGGAAGACUGCCUUGAACGGGGAAGUUCCUCCUGGACAUUUCAAAUUCACUUGGCCUCCAAAGAAUAGAGUUACAAGUAUCUUCCACAUGUGAAUGUCCUUGCAAGAGUGACUCUGGGCAGACAGACCACAAACUGAGACCGUCAAGCUCCCCAGGAGCCCCGUGGAUGGCAACAUUUCUCUAGAGAGUGUUUCCUGUUUCUGGAAUUCCUCAUUAAGGAACUUUAAAGAAGAAAAGAAAAACUUGAAUUGUGUUUAAUUACUGUAUCUUUUACUUUUUUUUUUUUUUUAAGAUAAACUUGUAAAUAGAGUGAUUGGAAAUAUUGUAUGGCAAAGUUUUAUAUUUGAUAAUGUUUAAGCUAGUUGCUUCAUGCAUUUAGGCUUUGAUUGCUGAAGAGGUAUGUUUAAGAGGGAGAGAGAGGAGGCAGAGUUGCAGAGCAUCAAGGUCAUUGUCCCCUCUCUGGCCUGGAGGAAAGAGAAGAUGUUCGUAUGUGUUGCUCUGUGUUGGUUCCUGUUGGUGGGUGUGACACAUCAAUGGUGUUCAGUCUUUAUCCACAUGUGUGUAUAAGCAUUCCUUGGGCUUUGGAUUUGGAGAUGGAAAGAAGGUCUUCAGGCAACGAGUUUUUCAGGAAUGCCUACUUAGUAGUAAGAGGAAGCUCAGGAUUUAAAUGGGUGGGACCAGGGAUUAGAUUUUUUUAGUUUUCCUUCUCAGGAGUAUUUCUUGGUACCCCAAGAUAUCAGGACAAAAGGAGAUGGGACAAUCACUCUGCUCCUUACUUCCUUCUUUUCUCCACAUCUUCUGAGUCUUGAUAAAUGAGGCCAGGCUACCUUGCAAAUGUUGCAUGUCUAUAAGUUCUACAAAAAACUGGCUUCUUUGGAUCUUUAGUCCGUGCUGUGCUGCUGCAGCUUCCCCUUUCUUUUAGCAUGUUUAUGCUCUUUCACCUCUGGAUUCCCCAUAACCCCAAAUAAGGAAAAAAACUCCAAGAGAUAUAUUUAGAUAUAAUCUACAUACAGAUUUAAAGAUGGCUUUAAAGUUAAUAGCGGUUCAUCGUGAUUCUCUAUUCAGUUUAUCAGUUCAAGGAUCAUACAGCUGUUAUCCAGGAACUCACCCAGGAGCAAGUGAGACACUACCUUUGAAUUAGGGAACAAGAAUUAAGAGUGGACAAGACCAAAAUAGGACUCAAAACAGUUAUCAUUGGAACCCCAAGAAAAAAAGGGAAUAUACUAACAGGCUAGACCUGCUCCCUGUGGAUCUGGGAACAAGUUGGGAAAUGGCCUGAGGGGCAGGGUGCACUCACGUACCAUUGUGUUUUCACAUAGACCCCAACAUGAUGCUUUUAACAAGUUUGACAUUUUCAGUUGUCACGUACCCCAUCGUAACCUUAACUGGAGCUAAUAUAGGGGAACAGAAGUCUAAGGUCCUUACUUUGGGAGAUUCCUUUCUGAAGCAUACUGUAGACACUUGGCCCCAGCUCGAUGACUUGGAAGCAUGUCCCUCCCUCCUGAGUUGGCCCUGAUCUGAAGCCAGAGGGAAAUAGAGCUGCUACCAAGGGUAUCUUGUAGGUAGAACCCUUCCCAGCUUCCCUGUGGCCGUGCUGGGCUUAUGACAGGUGGCUCUGUUUCCCUUUACCCAGCUAGGUGCCCUUCCUCCCCGUUAGAUACAGAACUGGAGAAACUUCAGAAUAUAAGCCAACAAGAAGGAAGGAACUUGAAGACUAAAAGUAGGUUUUACUCUCUCCUCUAUUGAUGUCCCCCACUCCCCGCAACUCUCUCUGCUUGAAUAGGGAACUUUAGGACGGAGGAAUGCAUGGGAUAUCAGAGUGGAAGACCAUUGACCAGGUCCCUCAGCUUUUCUGGGAGCCUCAAGGUUCCUUUGUAAGGACGUGGGAUCAAUUAGCCAUUGCCUGAAUCUUCUGGGGGUAUUAAGAUCAGUCUCUCCUCCUGCAUAUUACUCACAGAAUUCCAUGGCUAAAGAAUGCUGUGGCAUAAGAAGAUAGGUCCAAAUCCCUGCCCCAAGGCAAGUAAAAUCCUGACUUGCUCAAGACUGAUGAUGUUCUCUCCUGUUUUUCAAAAUAAAUAUAUAGGGAUGGAUCCUGUUUAGUGAAGCCUUCCUUGGUAUCUUAGAAUUGGAGCUAGUUUUUAGCUUGGUGUUUUUAGUAUUUCUACAGCCAAUAUGUGUUUUCUUAUUUCAGACCAAACUUUUAAAAUUCGGGGCAGAGAGGCAAAUAGAGAAAAUAAGCAGUCAAGUAUCAGCAGGCUGGCAUAGCAGGACAGAGGCAUGCUAGUGACAAGGUCGUUUCAGAUACUUGGCCAGGACUCCAGAGUUGUGUGUGCCAUGCCUGUAGCUCAAAGGGAAUUCCUUCUGUCAACUGAGUGUGUGUCUCCUGAAAAUGACAACCCCAGUCACCCUGAAAGCUCCGUCUUGGCUACAGAGGCUCCAAAAGCAUGCAUGAUUCAGGGGCAGGAAGACAGAAGAGGCUAAAAAUAACCUGAUUACCUAUUCAUAAUUUCCUAUUGGCACUUUUUAUCCUCUGGCUUCUGCUUCCAAAAGCAAGUCUGGACCACCUAGUUUGAUAGAUGUGGGACUCCCAGGUAACAGUGGCCACCGUGGCACCCAUCAUCUCCCCCAAUAGUAAAUGUUCUAUGAGCAACCAUAUCACCCAAGUAGGUAGCCAGCGCUGAAGAAACCAGACAGCCUCUUAGCUACCUGACUUUAAGAGGAAUGUCCUAGGUGUUCUGUCUAGGAAGUUAUCUAUCAUCUCCGGCAAACUUGACAAUAAUCAGUUACCUCAACAACCCUGCUCCCAUAUCCUUUCAGAGUCAGCUGGGUGUCCUCUCACACACCCUGUGCUGGUGUUUAAAAAUUUUAUCUCAUCAUGCUCUGAUGUGUUUGGCAGCCACGCUGAUCUGCUGGGUGCUGAACCACCUCUUUGUAAUUGUAGCAUCAACAUGACAACAGCAGCAGUGCAGUGAACCUUGCACGAUCCUACAGCAUGCCUGAGACAAGACUCCAACAAAUAAUAAUUAGCUUUCUUCCUCUUGCCACCUACAGUACUUGUCUAACUGAAGAGCUUCCCAAAGCAGAGGGAGAAGCCACAGAGAAUCCAAAUGUCAUUCAGAGCCAGCCCUUGCUGAAAUGUGGGCUUCUAAUGGAAGCCCCUCUAGUCUUGGGAGAAAAAGUAUUGGAUGUAAAGUAAUGCCAGCACCAGAGAGAAAGAGAAGGUUGUACCACACUGAGAAAUUUUAGAUUUUUUUAAAAAUAGGGGUGAAUAUAGUAUUGUUCUUAAUGGGAAGAAAACAUUAUCACAGAAAUAUUUCACAACUAAUAUUUUUACAACAGUUUUACAGGACAUUACAAAAUGAAAAUGUCCUUAAAGGUGGAAUGCUUUAGAGAGCAAAGACUUAGCACAGUCCUAGACUCAUGUAAGAGGAGCAAUUGCUAUUAUGUCAAAAUUCACUUUAGUGUAGUCAUUGAGAACCAGAGUAUUGAUAACCAAAAUGUCAGAGUUAUCUGGAGCAGUCCUGAGGGGUUGAGACAUUACACACAUUCUACAUCAACCAUUUCUACAAAGUUGUCCAAAUGGACACCUACAAGCAGUUUUCUUGGGUAUUCAGAUGCCAGGAUCAACCUUGUAUCUGUGAAGACACAUUGGAUGAUUCUAAAGUAUAUAUUUAUUAGUGUGUGUGUGUGUGUGUGUGUGUGUGUACAGCACAUAUUUACAUAUGUAAAGAUACAGACUCAUCUAGAGACCCACAUGAGCUGACAGCUGUUGAGCCUUUACAACCUUUAAGAUUUGGAGGUUGAGAAUCAGAGAACGAGAGGCUGUUGAUUGCCUAUCAAAAAGAUCAAAGAUGUAAAUUAAGUGCCAUUUUAAAACUGUGUUCAUAUUUAUCAAAUGGUUACUGUCUGUAGCUAUGUUCCUUAUUAACUUAUUAGAACUCAUGUUGAAGAAGAUCAAACCCAUAAAUGCUUAGUAGCUAAUGCUAGGCUAAAGUUCAAAAGCACUCAAAAAGACCUUUUGUCCAUAUUUUGGAAAAAAAAUACUUGCAUGUUUAAUUCAUAAUUUAGGCUACCUUUGAGUAGACUGUAAAGUGCUGCGUGAUAUAAUGUCAGUGAAGUACUUAUAUAAUGGCACUUUAAUGUUUUCUUUUAAAAAACAAAUAAUGCACUGUUUUAAACUUCAGUAUUGAAUAUUGACUGGUGCAUAGAAUCCAAUUUCGUAAUUAAAAAGUAAUUUGUGGCUAGAAUAGAAUUUUUUCCCUAUUAUUAGAAAAACAGUUUUGUCAUGUUCAAGCUUUUUUAAAAAAUGUGCUUCUGCGUCAUUAAACAUAUCUCUAAAAAAAUACAAUUUCUGUUGAGUGGCAUCUGAAACUUGGCUUUCUUACGCUUGGUUGGUUUAUGGGACAACCUCUAUGAAACGAGUGGAAGUAUGAUUUUUGAAAUAAAUGACUUCCAUUUGGCGGUAUGUUUGUUUCUUGAGUUUCUGAUAAAGUUUUGACUUGAUACAUAGUAUUUCUUCAAAUAAGCAUAUAUAGACCAUAAUAAAAGGUCAGGAGUCUAGGCUCCUGCAGUUAUUGGUGAUAACCACAA